UGACCGCCAUCCCUUUGGGGAAGGCUGAGGCUACACGGACGGCCGGGUCAAAUGCCGA
rnacentral:sRNA from 1 species